rnacentral:misc_RNA from 1 species
UCCCUGUUGCCAGGGCAGUAUGAUUAGAAAAAUUCAACUAAUCACAAGGGUUGCGCUCGUUGAUGGACUUAACCAAACAUCUCACGACACGAGCUGACGACGGCCAUGCAUCAUCUGUCACCGAGUUCAAAUUGCACUCUCUCCUUUCGGAAAGAUUCUCGGGAUGUCAAGCCUGGGUAAGGUUCUUCGCUUACCAUCGGAUUAAACAACACGCUCCACCGCUUGUGCGGGUCCCCGUCAAUUCCUUUAUGUUUUAGUCUUGCGACCGUACUCCACAGGCGGGAUGCUUAACGCGUUAGCUUCGCUACUACAGGGGCCGAUACCUAUAACAGCUAGCAUCCAUAGUUUACGGCGUGGACUAC